GUAAGUGGGAAGGGGCCAGAGCUGUGGGGUCUUUUACAGAUAGAUAGCUGGGGCUCAGAGGAAGCCUGCCUGAGAAGUUGAACACUGCCCAUAUCAGUGGUCCACACAACACUUCUGUAAAAAAAAAAAAAAAAAAAAAAAGGAAUGGGGAUGGGACUCUUUCCUCAAAAUACUCUCUGUCAGAAAAUUAUGAUUGUAUACAAAUUUUGUUAAAACAAGAGUCUUCACUGCCAUCUGCUGAAAAAUUGUUGUAACAAAUAUGUGCGUUUGUGAUGUCAACAAUGAGUAUGGUGCCUGUUUGGUCAUGCUGCCCAACCUGCCCAACUAUGAACAGCAACCACUGUUCUUCCCUUGAAGUGCGAGGAGAGCCUCUGUGCUGGGCCUGUAGCAGUGGGCAGCGCCUUGAUGCAAAGGAAUUCACUCUUCCCAGGGGCUCUGCAGAUUGUAGAAGUGUCCAACUCCAGAAAACAUCUGUCCCACCAGCCCAGGCCACGGAGCAAAAUGGGCAGGAAGAAAGUACAGGAGGAAGACACAAGAGAACAAACCACAACGCCCAUGCAAGGCAAAGGAAAGUGGAAAAAAAACAAGCCCGAGAACAGAUGGAGGAAAAGAAUCAGCAACUAACUGGAAAAGGAAGGAAAACAGAGCAGCAGAACAUGAAAGAGCAAAGUGGACUUCAAUCUCUGCUAUUCUGAGGCUGCAAGGGAUCCCAUUAAGAAAAUCACGUUCAGAAAAACAGCAUCCAGAGAAACAAAAAGAAAUAUCCUUGCUUGUGGCCUUCUUUCCAGGUGUAGAAAUCUUCCUUAGAAACUGCCCCCAAAGGGACUUGCCUUUACAACUCAUAGCCUACAAUUGA
rnacentral:lncRNA from 12 species